CGGGUGAGUAUAAUGUGGGAAUCUGCCUUUUGGUUUGGAAUAACACGGGGAAACUUGUGCUAAUACCGAAUAAGCCCUUACGGGGAAAGUUUUAAUGCCGAAAGAUGAGCCCGCACUUGAUUAGCUAGUUGGUAAGGUAAAAGCUUACCAAGGCAACGAUCAAUAGCUGUUCUUAGAGGAAGACCAGCCACAUUGGGACUGAGACACGGCCCAGACUCCUACGGGAGGCAGCAGUGGGGAAUCUUGCACAAUGGGGGAAACCCUGAUGCAGCGAUGCCGCGUGAGUGAAGAAGGCCUUUGGGUUGUAAAACUCUUUCGUCGGGGAAGAAAAUGACUGUACCCGAAUAAGAAGGUCCGGCUAACUUCGUGCCAGCAGCCGCGGUAAUACGAAGGGACCUAGCGUAGUUCGGAAUUACUGGGCUUAAAGAGCUCGUAGGUGGUUAAAAAAGUUGAUGGUGAAAUCCCAAGGCUCAACCUUGGAACUGCCAUCAAAACUUUUUAGCUAGAGUGUGAUAGAGGUAA
rnacentral:rRNA from 1 species